rnacentral:lncRNA from 1 species
UGAAUAAUUUGUCAUCUAAUAAUAUAUAUUAAUACCUUAUAAUUUAUUAUUUUGUCUGAAGAUAAUAAUACUGCUUGCAUGCAUGCAUGACAAAGCAAUUUCAGCAGGUGGCCAUGGCCAUGGCCAGGCUAUUUAUUAUAACAAUAAAAACAAGUACAGAAAUCCAAUGUUGGGUCACUUCUAUGUCGAAAACAAUACACUUGUGUAGGUCUCUUAUGAUGUGUAUGCGUACACAAAUGCCAGCACUUCUUAUAAGUGCAUUCUUCAAGUGGAUCGUUCGAGGAGCAGUUAGGAUCAUCCCCAGCUGUUACAUAAUAUAUAUUAAUUUAAUUUCAAGUAGAGCCAAAUCCAUCAUGCAUAUAUCUUAAGGAAAUAUAUAAUAAACAAAAUUUCUAACCACGACUGAUAUAUAUUGUCAGAUUAAAAAUAAUAUUGUCAGAAUAAUUAGUGUCUUAAUUUAACUAAAAGCUAUUGGAAAAUUAAUUGCUCGCAGAUGGAAAUUAAGUUAGAUGUUGUCUUUUAUUUGUUAGUCAAACAAAGUACAAUAAUAUACUAUACUUCUUCCAUUCUAAACUAUAAUAUUAUUAUUGACUUUGAAAAUUAAUUUGAGAUAUUUUUAAAUUUAAAAUUGGAAUGAUUUAUUAAAAAAUAUGAAACAAUAAAUAUUACAAUGAGCAAUAAUUUUUUAGAUUAUGAGUUUGUUUGACUAGCUAGCUACCAACGUUUGCGACGAUAGCGUUUGCAGCUUUUGGACCUCCAAACGUACCACACCAAUUUUAAUGCAGUGUCUGAGGUCUAAACGAUAGAUUUAUGAGUUAAAUAAGUUGCGUUCAAAAUAAAGGACUAUAAGCGAACAAGAUUUUUAAGUACGAUUGAACUUCCAAACGUUGAAAAUACCCACCGAGUACCCAAACAUACGCUAUAUUGACUAAAAUUAAUUACAUUAAUCUACGUUAAUAUUGAAUUUAAAAAUAUUUUAAAUUGGUUUUAAAAAGUUAAUAAUAAUAAUAAUUUAUAUUUUGAAAGAGAGCUGGCCAUGGAGUAUUAACUAGUUAGUUAAAUAUGAUGUUUACCUGCUGUCAAAAAGAAAUUUGUGUCGCAGGUAGCAUAAAGCAGGAGUAAGCAGAUGAUGCAUGAAAAGCGCUUGUCCAUGGUGUCUGAUUCUUGGAGAGGAUAUAUGUAUAUAUAUCAAGAGAGAGGGAAAAUGGGUAUAUUGAAGAAUACUUUGAUU